rnacentral:rRNA from 1 species
UGGUACUUGUACCGACUGGAUGAGCAGCGAACGGGUGAGUAACGCGUGGGGAAUCUGCCUUUGAGCGGGGGACAACAUUUGGAAACGAAUGCUAAUACCGCAUAAAAACUUUAAACACAAGUUUUAAGUUUGAAAGAUGCAAUUGCAUCACUCAAAGAUGAUCCCGCGUUGUAUUAGCUAGUUGGUGAGGUAAAGGCUCACCAAGGCGAUGAUACAUAGCCGACCUGAGAGGGUGAUCGGCCACAUUGGGACUGAGACACGGCCCAAACUCCUACGGGAGGCAGCAGUAGGGAAUCUUCGGCAAUGGACGAAAGUCUGACCGAGCAACGCCGCGUGAGUGAAGAAGGUUUUCGGAUCGUAAAACUCUGUUGGUAGAGAAGAACGUUGGUGAGAGUGGAAAGCUCAUCAAGUGACGGUAACUACCCAGAAAGGGACGGCUAACUACGUGCCAGCAGCCGCGGUAAUACGUAGGUCCCGAGCGUUGUCCGGAUUUAUUGGGCGUAAAGCGAGCGCAGGUGGUUUAUUAAGUCUGGUGUAAAAGGCAGUGGCUCAACCAUUGUAUGCAUUGGAAACUGGUAGACUUGAGUGCAGGAGAGGAGAGUGGAAUUCCAUGGUUUAA